UACGUAGGGGGCAAGCGUUGUCCGGAUUUAUUGGGCGUAAAGAGCGUGUAGGCGGCCUGAAAGGUCAGCUGUGAAAACUCGAGGCUCAACCUCGAGACGUCGGUUGAAACCAUCUGGCUAGAGUCCGGAAGAGGAGUGUGGAAUUCCCGGUGUAGCGGUGAAAUGCGCAGAUAUCGGGAAGAACACCCGUGGCGAAGGCGGCACUCUGGGACGGUACUGACGCUGAGACGCGGAAAGCGUGGGGAGCGAACGAGG
rnacentral:rRNA from 1 species